rnacentral:lncRNA from 1 species
CUGGUUGGAAACAUGAGAGAAAAUAAAAGAAUAUAAUAGAGUAGAAGGAAAAUAAUAGAAAAGAAAAGAAAAUGGGAGAAAAAGGAAAGGAAAUAGGUAAGAAGAAAACAAGGGAAUGAGAAAAUAAAAGGUUGACUGAACAAUAAAGACCCAAUAUUUGUAUUUUAAUUAAAAAUUUUCAAUUUUCAAUUUAUGUUCCA